CCCUUAGAUGUCCUGGACCGCACGCGCGCUACACUGAGUGUCUGAGAUACGAGUCUGCCUGGUCCGGCAAGGUCUAGGUAAUCGCUAAAAGACACAUCAUGCUUGGGAUAGAUUAUUGCAAAUAUUAAUCUUGAACGAGGAAUUCCUAGUAAGCGCAAGUCAACAGCUUGCGUUGAUUACGUCCCUGCCCUUUGUACACACCGCCCGUCGCUACUACUGAUUGGAUGUUUAAGCGAGGUUCUCGAACUGCUAGCGACUUAGCUUCGGUGAGGUCGCAGUGUGGGAAGUGAACCGAGCUUUGGUGUCUAGAGGAAGUAAAAGUCGUAACA
rnacentral:rRNA from 1 species